rnacentral:rRNA from 1 species
CACGGGGGGAGCAAGCGUUGUUCGGAAUCACUGGGCGUAAAGGGCGCGUAGGCGGUUCGAUAAGUCCCGUGUGAAAUCCCUCGGCUCAACUGAGGAACUGCACGGGAAACUGACGGGCUUGAGUUCGGGAGAGGGAAGCGGAAUUCCGGGUGUAGCGGUGAAAUGCGUAGAUAUCCGGAGGAACACCGGUGGCGAAGGCGGCUUCCUGGACCGACACUGACGCUGAGGCGCGAAAGCUAGGGGAGCAAACGGG